rnacentral:lncRNA from 1 species
UGGCUAAUAAAUUUAAACAAAGAUAAAUUGAGAAAAAGAGAUAACAUAAACAAAAAAAAUUUAAAAAUAAAUAAAAAUAAUAUAGCUUUAGAUUGAAUUAAAAAAUAAUGAGGCCUUUUAUUGGGUAUUCUAAGCCCAAAACUGAGCCCAUCUCAGCCUUUUCAAAGCAAUAAAAAAAGUUAAAACUUGUUGCACUCACCGAGAAUCGAACUCGGAACCUGCG